UUUACUGGAGAGUUUGAUCCUGGCUCAGGACGAAUGCUGGCGGUAUGCUUAACACAUGCAAGUCGUACGAGGUUUAUUCAUCGUUGACUUUAUGUCAACCGAAUAGACUGCAGUGGCGGACGGGUGCGUAACGCGUAAGAACUUACCUUUUGGUGGGGGAUAACAAUGGGAAACUGUUGCUAAGACCCCAUAAUGCUGAGGAGCUAAAAGCGAAAGCUGCCAAGAGAGAGGCUUGCGUCUGAUUAGCUAGUUGGUGGGGGUAAAGGCCUCCCAAGGCGACGAUCAGUAGCUGGUCUGAGAGGAUGAUCAGCCACACUGGGACUGAGACACGGCCCAGACUCCUACGGGAGGCAGCAGUGAGGAAUUUUCCGCAAUGGGCGAAAGCCUGACGGAGCAAUACCGCGUGAAGGAAGAAGGGCCGUGGCUCGUAAACUUCUUUUCUCAAGGAAGAAUAAAUGACGGUACUUGAGGAAUAAGCACCGGCUAACUCUGUGCCAGCAGCCGCGGUAAUACAGAGGGUGCAAGCAUUGUCCGGAAUGAUUGGGCGUAAAGCGUCUGUAGGUGGUUUUUAAAGUCUACUGUCAAAUCCCAGAGCUCAACUUUGGACAGGCAGUGGAGUACUUAAAAGCUAGAGUAUGGUAGGGGUAGAGGGAAUUCCUUGUGGAGCGGUGAAAUGCACAGAGAUAAGGAAGAACACCAGUGGCGAAGGCGCUCUACUGGGCCAUGACUGACACUGAGAGACGAUAGCUGGGGGAGCGAAUAGGAUUAGA
rnacentral:rRNA from 1 species